rnacentral:rRNA from 1 species
ACACGACUACAUUAGACUACCCGGGUAGUCCUAGCCGUAAACGAUACUCGCUAGGUGUCGGCCACGGUGCGACCGUUGUCGGUGCCGUAGGGAAGCCGUGAAGCGAGCCACCUGGGAAGUACGGCCGCAAGGCUGAAACUUAAAGGAAUUGGCGGGGAGCACCACAACGCGUGGAGCCUGCGGUUUAAUCGGAUUCAACGCCGGACAUCUCACCAGGGGCGACAGCAGAAUGAUGGCCAGGUUGAUGACCUUGCUUGACAAGCUG